AGAAAGAGAGUAGAGUAAUUCUGUGCGUUCAGGUGUGUCUCUCAAUGAGGUUCGCCGUUCUUUAUAUAGAGGAGAAAAACGACCGUUUGUAGUGAUGGCAGAUAUAUAGUCUUGAUGAGAGUUUAAUGCCAUAACUUCGUUGUUUCUUGCCAUAACAAGUUUGUCUCCCUGAAUAACUUCUUUCCAAAUAUAGUUUCUUUCCAUUUGAC
rnacentral:lncRNA from 1 species